rnacentral:lncRNA from 1 species
AGCCAAAUGCCUUAAUGGCGGAUAGGGGUCACGUUCAAUAAGGUCUGAAAUUUGAUUUCCCACGCCUACAAACUAGUUUCAAGUCUGGUUUGAGCUAAUGUUCCCUGCCUAAGCAAAUUAUUCAACACCAAUUCCACAUUAAUUAUUCUUCCCUACAUGAAUUAAUUCAAUACUAAUAAUUGCAUGAGAUAAUCAAAGAGAAUAGAAUCAAUGACCUUGGUUAUUCGAAAAGGCUUGCUUAUGUGAAGCUAUAGCUACUAAUAAAGUGUUAAACUACGAGAUCAGUGCCAUGAGUUAUAUAUACUGAACAUGCUUUCAAGUUGCAAUUACAGUUGUGACCAAAACUCACAAACACUUAAUUAUUCACGCUUUAAAUUCUUCCAGUUUUGCUUCACCACUCAAACCGGACUAAAACAAAUUCUAAUUCAGGCUAUUGAUUAACUCUAAUGCAUACAAGUAUUAAAACUUGUCCAGGAUUAGUAACAAACAAGCAAUUGAAUUACAUAAUACUAUCUAAAUCUGUCAGAACUUCGAGUGCAUAGUAGAGAAUCAACACCAAUUCAUUUUAUGCUCCAAUCAUAUGAGGUUACAACCACAUGAUCUCUAAUUUUGUACCUGAAAAUGGAAUUUUAAUAGAGGAAACGAAUCAGCAGCAGCUAUACUGUAGCAGAAUAAGAAAAAUUCAGGCAGCAACACUUCGAGAUAGUCAACAGCAACAAUAACCAACCCAGAAAGUCGAAAUAUAUCACAGAAAUAUUUAAUUUCACACAAAAUCCAUGAAUCCACUAGAAAUGACACCAAAUCAACUCAAAAAGCAAACCAACACACCUUUAACCUUUCAGCAAACAAAAUAUACCAUCAGCCAGUCGUUAAGGCCCAAACCCAAUCAAAUUCAAUCCAAAAUUCCUUUGAAGUUCAGAAGUCUGAACAUGGAACUAAAUGAAUGAAACAACAACUAUUUUUGAAAUUUUUGUUUUGGUUAUAUAAAAAUAAAAUCUAAAAGAAAAUUUUUGAGUUUUUCAAUGACUGGAAAUUCAAAAAUAGAGAUCUGUACGAGGGUUUUUGGGAGGAAAUAGAUCGCUGAAAAGAAGACCCUUUUUUAAGGAAUCAAAAUACCAAUUUAUAGGCAACAUAAGAAUGAUCAAUCGAUUUUU